GUUUACCAUCAUGGGAUGUGGAUGAAGUGGCUGCGCUGGAGUCUCAGGUGGAGAAGUCAAACUCGCUGUACGAGGAGUUUUUGAACCAGGCAGCGACUCCAAUCAAUGGAUACCAGAAACCUCCAUGAGGACAGAAGCCUGGAGCCUGGACUCAUCUGCGUUUUCUCUUCCCACCUUCUGCAAACCAGAAGAUAAUGACUGGAUGUCUGCGUGUGUGGUUAGCUAUGUAGAAUGUUUCCCAGUCAUUGUGUGAAAAAAAACAAAAAACAGAAAA